rnacentral:lncRNA from 1 species
ACGAGCGUCUACAGCCAUCUCAGAGACUGGACAGGUGGGAUCCUGUCAGAGACCUGUGCAAUGGCUUAUGGCCUUGGGAAAAAGGGACUCUUAGCUCUUGGUAUCACAGGGUCAUCUGGAAUACAAGGUGAGAGUGGCAGGCUAGUCUGACUGCGAUCCCAGGUGACUGGCUCUUGUGAAGAAUCUUAAGCGUCCUGUGGUACCGUGGAGUGGAAAAUGACUUCAGUAAUAAUUGUAGUGGUUUUUGGAUGCUGUAUGACUCUUGAGUUGUCCUGAUUUGUGUCUAGUUUUUGAACCUCUGGACUACUAUUCAAGCCCACAUGCUUACUUCUCUACUUUCAUACUAAGAUUGUCUUUCCUUUUUUUUUUUUUUUUUUUUCUAUUUUGGAAUAGAGACAUGGCUGUUCUUGUGGUUGGAUGUUGGUCUAGCCUUUCAUUCAUUCAUGCAGCUAAUAUUUCUUGAACACCUAACUUUACAGGAAUUGUGCUUUUCUAGAGAGCAGGCAGCUCAGCUGAUGCUUAUGUCCUGCUCUAAGGCAUAAGACCUCAAAGGGAAGACACAGGGUACCCAUGGCGCUGUCCCAGGGUAUCGUGGAUUGUGUUCAUUUUCUUUAUUCUCUUCAUAUGGUUUCUGUUCCCUUUUCUGAGAGCUUAGCUUUACUGACACUCAGGUGUCAAGGAAAAAGGCCUUCUCAGGACCUACUUUGAUUAACCCCUGUGUUCUGAUACUGAUAACAGCAGAUGUGGUUGCUUUCCUCAAAGGCUUAUACUAACCUCAGUUUGAAAGCUUGAGGGCCUCAGAAGGCCAGGUUUAGCAGGAACAACGGUAACUAGAGCAGAAGCAGGCAAAAGGAAGACUGACAGGCUGGGC